AGUAGAAUGGAGAAUUGUCCUUGUCUAGUUGACUAUGCUCUACUGAUAUGAUAGAUAUGCCGAUGUCUAACUUGGAGAUCUUGAUUAGGUUGGGAAAUAUAUCAGGUAGAUGGUUAUUCAUACAGAUAUAUCAUGAAACAAAUAUGUUAUAGAGAAAACAUUGAAAUUAGUUAUAUGUUGCCGAGACAGCAACCAAACAACAUGAUCAUAUAAUCAAAACUAAAAACAAUUUGAUAGUAAUAUUUGAAUAAAUAACUUUAAAUGGCCUUAACAAUUACUAAGUAGAUGUAUAAAUUUGUGUUGUUGAAUUAUGCUGAAAGUAUUUACUAGUUCAUUUGACUGGAAAAAACUGAUCAAUAUUUAAGGUUUUACAAACCAGACUAGACAAAUUGCAAGAUAGCAAUUAUGGAAGAGUCACAGUUGAAAAAAAAACAUAAAAUCUAUGAAAACAGCUCACUCAUAGCAUUUUUUUUAAUCCAAUUGAUAUUUGUUGUCUUGAUUUUAAACUACCAGUAAGCUUUAGAUGUUUAAAUAUAGAAACAACCGAACAGCGCACACUAAUUUCAACAAUUUUAUUUUAUUUUUGGUAUUAUGUGUUUUUUUCAGAUGUAGAAUUAGAAGAAACAACAGUGAAAAAGAAAUGAGAGUCAUCAUUUUAGCUUGAAAUUUAAAUAAAUCUAAUUUUUCUUUACUAUCAACAAUGAUUCAUUAUAUGUAUUAGAAAUUACUUAGGUAUAUUAAAAGGGCAAUAUGCCAAUUAUUUAGUCUUAUUGCCAUAUGACCGAACAGAGCAGAUUCCUCCAGGGAAGAAAACGCGCCAAAGGGGGAGAUAAUGCCCU
rnacentral:lncRNA from 1 species